UUUAUUAAUUUUCUUUUUUAACACGUUCGCUACCAACCGGCACAUAUAUGUGCCGGUAGGUCCAUCAAGAUAGACCACCAUUGUGUGAGUUGGGCACUUCUCACAGACCAGCUCAAAGUAGUGUGGUCAUUACCGUAGCCCAAGAGUACAACUUUGUUCAAAUCAAUUUAUAUAUCAUUUUAUAGCCUUAGGCAAACGUAUAACUUGAUUCCACAUCCCUUUUUUUUACGUUGUAUACAUUUUGGCUAGUGGCACAUAUAUGUGCCGGUCGGUCUGUAGCAAAAAAUUAGGCUUAGGCUAAACCUCAAAUAUAAACUUUUUCUAGUUGAAAGUCAAGUAAAAAUUGCCAUAACUGUGUUAGGACACAUUGGGAAAAUAAUAAAAACUAGUGUUGACAUGGUAGUUAUGUGUAUUGUACAAACUAAAACAAGAUCUUUGGAUAAACACUUUGGAAAUAGCAGAAUAUGUUAUUAAAAAAACUCACACAAAUAUCUCUUAUUUAUAACUCCAUUUAUGUAAUGAGCUACAUUUUAUCUUUGACAUAAAACAGUUAGGAAAUAAAAAUGUCUUAGGUAACACACAUUUUGUUUUAGUUUUUCACUUGUGAAAUUCAUUGAAACACUCUGGCAUGCAGAGUCCGAAUUUAUUGUCCUUUUCAUCUGUGCAGCUGGAACAUGUGAAGAAAGUUGUUUUCCGCUUUUUCUGUCUUAUUCUACAAACAUGACACCGUAGCCUCUUGUUCAAUUUGACUGGGUCAUGGCUUUUUUGACCUGAGACCUUGAACUGCACCAAGGAAGAAAAAGUGAACAUACCGAGAGACCAAGCGGCACAAAUAUGUGCCAGACAUCCCUGUAGACCGAUAUGAAAGAAUGAAGUCGAAAGAAUAGACCGAUCGUUACCACAGCCUUUUAUUUAAUAAUACUACACUGGCACAAAUAUGUGCCGUCGGUCCACUGGAACUGUACCGAGCGGCACAAAUAUGUGCCAUCGGUCUAUAAGAAUCAACUAGCCGGCACAUAUGUGUGCCAGCCGGUCCAUAUUAACGAAAAAGUUUUUACAUUUCGGUAGCGAAUGUGU